rnacentral:lncRNA from 13 species
AUGUAUUCAAGGCCUAAAAUGGUGGGUAUGUUCAACGAUUGGCCAGAAGGUGGCGGUAGUGCGCGUGUUGUUGAUGACAUCCGCUAUCUGCAGUGUUGCCAUGUUCGCGGUUUCCGGCUAAAUUUGGCUACUUUGAAAACGAUCUCUCGGGUGGAAAUGUACUGGUUGCGGGGUUUUUCUAACAGUUGUGGAAAUCUUUAGUAGUUGCAUAGAUCUCCAUGCACCAUGAGGAGUGCUGAGGUGAAGAAACUGAAAGNNNNNNNNNNAACUCCUGUCCUCCGGUACCCCCAACAGCCCAACUCCAGUCCUCCAGUACCCCCAACAGCCCAACUCCAGUCUUCCAGUACCCCCAACAGCCCAACUCCUGUCCUCCGGUACCCCCACUCAUUUUUUGUUGUUGGCCCAGAUGACAAAUUCCUCUGAUUCAACUAAUUGUGGAUGAAGUUGAAUCGGGUGUGCUUGUUUGGGGCUACAACAACAAUGUGUUCUGUGGUAGGACUGGAGGAAACGCUGCUAUAUGGGGUGGAAAAACUACUCAAAUCUCAUUCUGUAGUAAAAGUGAAGAUAUUUUAAUAGAAAAUUACUACUUGAGUAAANNNNNNNNNNNNNNNNNNNNNNNNNGGGGUUAAAGUUCUUCGCCACAUCGACCGAUUUCCGUCAUAUGGAUUCUGGAGAGCUCGUUUCUGAGAUCAGUUUAGAUCCGCAGUAAAAUCUCUGUGGACCACAGCAGCGCUGAACGCGGACAGCUGUGUGUAGACUACUGUAGAUGAUUGCAAAAUCAUUCAAAGCCUUCGCUCAGGAUGUAACUUUCAAGUAGUUUUGCUAUGUUGUUAUUAAAACAAAAUCAGACAGUAGUUGACCUAUUUACCUAGUCGGCUGUUGAUGUGUGAGGGGGGGAUCUAUGAUAAAUAAAGUAAUUAUUUAUAUAUUCAUAUUUAUAAUAAAAUUAUAAUUAUUAAGAGUAAUAACAAUCAGGAUGUUGUGUCCAGUGGGAUAAAUGCAGAUGGACAAACCCCAUCCUUUCAGCCUAUGUACAUUUUAUAGACCAUUCUGAUUCAUCAGUUGGGCUACAGGUGAUAAUGCUUAUUAUGGCUAAAAGCACCAAUGCAUGAUCCAAUAUGUUAAAAGGUUAAUAUAAUUUUUAACUAUAUGUUAUGGGACCCAUUUCUGGAAGUGUUUCAGCAUGAUUUUAUUUUCAUACAUUUUGAAGUAGAAUUACCCUUUUAAAAAAGUCACCAGGAUGGAGCUUCUCAGUCCUUCUACAUAAAUAUUAUCCCGGGGACCCCGGAGCCCCUAAGCAAGAGGACUGGAAUUGGUCAAACUCGCAGUUUAACAUUUUCCCUAAAGGCAUAAUGGUCAUGACUUUGUUACAUUAAAGGGGAGGUUAACACAGCCCCUGACAAUAAGAUCUGAGAUCAACAUAC